UCCCUGAUGGCGCCGUGGUUAGGACUCUGCACUCCUAAUGCAGGGGGCCCAGGUUCAAUUCCUGGUCAGGGAA